rnacentral:tRNA from 2 species
GGGCCUGUAGCUCAGCCGGUUAGAGUGCACCCCUGAUAAGGGUGAGGUCAUAAGUUCAAGUCUUAUCAGGCCCACCA